rnacentral:lncRNA from 1 species
UUCAGCAUGGCAAUUUGUUUUUGGCAAAGCUACAAGCAGUUGAAAACUGCAUCUUGCAGUGGAAAAUGUCGGGAUAAUUUUAGACAUUAUCACCUCAAUGAAUUUCAUGAUGAUGACGAUGAUUACAUUCAUCUCCAAGAGAUUCCCUGCUGCAGAGGAGCGCACCAACGUAGCAGCGUUCACUUCUCUUCCAUCAAACAAUUUCAAGACCAGUUUUCUCUCAGAGCUGUCCUGAUUGGAAAACAUGGAGUGCUUGGAAAUGCUCGUGAAGUAAAGCAGCAAGGAGCACAGCUGUCUGGAGGGAGAUGUGCCAAAGGAGUCACAGCCAUCACUCUGCAAUUUAUACAGCCUCGAUAAGAAACAUGAAGGUAAUUUCUACAGAUAAA